UACGGAGGGGGCUAGCGUUGUUCGGAAUUACUGGGCGUAAAGCGCACGUAGGCGGCUUGUUAAGUGAGGGGUGAAAUCCUGGAGCUCAACUCCAGAACUGCCUUUCAUACUGGCAAGCUAGAGUCCGGAAGAGGUGAGUGGAACUCCUAGUGUAGAGGUGGAAUUCGUAGAUAUUAGGAAGAACACCAGUGGCGAAGGCGACUCACUGGUCCGGUACUGACGCUGAGGUGCGAAAGCGUGGGGAGCAAACAGG
rnacentral:rRNA from 1 species